rnacentral:rRNA from 1 species
GAUGAACGCUAGCGGCAGGCCUAACACAUGCAAGUCGAGGGGUAGCAGGAUUAAGCUUGCUGAAUUGCUGACGACCGGCGCACGGGUGCGUAACGCGUAUGCAACCUACCUUAUACUCGGGUAUAGCCCGGAGAAAUUCGGAUUAAUCUCCAAUAUUACUAAUGAAUCGCAUGGUUUAUUAGUUAAAGCAUUGCGGUAUAAGAUGGGUAUUCGUGCUAUUAGCUAGAUGGGGAGGUAACGGCUCACCAUGGCUACGAUAGGUGGGCGGCCUGAGAGGGUGGUCCCGCACACUGGUACUGAGACACGGACCAGAGUCCUACGAGAGGCAGCAGUGAGGAAUAUUGGUCAAUGGGCGCAAGCCUGAACCAGCCAUGCCGCGUGCAGGAAGAAUGCCCUAUGGGUUGUAAACUGCUUUUAUUUGGGAAUAAACCUCUUUACGUGUAGAGAGAUGAAGGUACCAAAUGAAUAAGCACCGGCUAACUCCGUGCCAGCAGCCGCCGUAA